AAACUUUCAACAACGGAUCUCUUGGCUCUGGCAUCGAUGAAGAACGCAGCGAAAUGCGAUAAGUAAUGUGAAUUGCAGAAUUUAGUGAAUCAUCGAAUCUUUGAACGCACAUUGCGCCCCCCGGCAUUCCGAGGGGCAUGCCUGUUCGAGCGUCAGAACACCCCUCAAGCCUGGCUUGGUCUUGGGGCUCGCCGGCUCGGCGGCCCCUAAACGCAGUGGCGGUGCUGUUGUGCUCUCCGCGUAGUCAUGUAUCU
rnacentral:rRNA from 1 species